rnacentral:rRNA from 1 species
CCUGACUGCUAUCGGAUUGAUACUAAGCCAUGCGAGUCAUUGUAGCAAUACAAGGCAGACGGCUCAGUAACGCGUAGUCAACCUAACCUAUGGACGGGAAUAACCUCGGGAAACUGAGUAUAAUGCCCGAUAGAACAUUAUACCUGGAAUGGUUUAUGUUCCAAACGAUUUAUUGCCAUAGGAUGGGACUGCGGCCUAUCAGUUUGUUGGUGAGGUAAUGGCCCACCAAGACUAUUACAGGUACGGGCUCUGAGAGGAGUAGCCCGGAGAUGGGUACUGAGACACGGACCCAGGCCCUAUGGGGCGCAGCAGGCGAGAAAACUUUGCAAUGUGCGAAAGCACGACAAGGUUAAUCCGAGUGGUUUCUGCUAAAGGAACCUUUUGUCGGUCCUAGAAACACCGAUGAAUAAGGGGUGGGCAAGUUCUGGUGUCAGCCGCCGCGGUAAAACCAGCACCUCAAGUGGUCAGGAUGAUUAUUGGGCCUAAAGCAUCCGUAGCCGGCUCUGUAAGUUUUCGGUUAAAUCUGUACGCUUAACGUACAGGCUGCCGGGAAUACUGCAGAGCUAGGGAGUGGGAGAGGUAGACGGUACUCGGUAGGAAGGGGUAAAAUCCUUUGAUCUAUUGAUGACCACCUGUGGCGAAGGCGGUCUACCAGAACACGUCCGACGGUGAGGGAUGAAAGCUGGGGGAGCAAACCGGAUUAGAUACCCGGGUAGUCCCAGCUGUAAACUAUGCAAACUCAGUGAUGCAUUGGCUUGUGGCCAAUGCAGUGUUGCAGGGAAGCCGUUAAGUUUGCCGCCUGGGAAGUACGUACGCAAGUAUGAAACUUAAAGGAAUUGGCGGGGGAGCACCACAAGGGGUGAAGCCUGCGGUUC